rnacentral:rRNA from 1 species
GACGAACGCUGGCGGCGUGCUUAACACAUGCAAGUCGAACGGAAAGGCCCCCUUGUGGGGUACUCGAGUGGCGAACGGGUGAGUAACACGUGAGUAACCUACCCUUGACUUUGGGAUAACUUCAGGAAACAGGGGCUAAUACCGGAUAGGAGCUCCUGCUGCAUGGUGGGGGGUGGAAAGUUUCGGCGGUUGGGGAUGGACUCGCGGCUUAUCAGCUUGUUGGUGGGGUAGUGGCUCACCAAGGCUUUGACGGGUAGCCGGCCUGAGAGGGUGACCGGCCACAUUGGGACUGCGAUACGGCCCAGACUCCUACGGGAGGCAGCAGUGGGGAAUAUUGCACAAUGGGCGGAAGCCUGAUGCAGCAACGCCGCGUGCGGGAUGACGGCCUUCGGGUUGUAAACCGCUUUCGCCUGUGACGAAGCGUGAGUGACGGUAAUGGGUAAAGAAGCACCGGCUAACUACGUG